rnacentral:rRNA from 1 species
AGUGAACGCUGGCGGUAGGCCUAACACAUGCAAGUCGAACGGCAGCACAGUAAGAGCUUGCUCUUACGGGUGGCGAGUGGCGGACGGGUGAGGAAUACAUCGGAAUCUACUUUUUCGUGGGGAUAACGUAGGGAAACUUACGCUAAUUCCGCAUACGACCUACGGGUUAAAGCAGGGGAUCUUCGGACCUUUCCCGAUUGAAUGAGCCGAUGUCGGAUUAGCUAGUUGGCGGGGUAAAGGCCCACCAAGGCGACGAUCCGUAGCUGGUCUGAGAGGAUGAUCAGCCACACUGGAACUGAGACACGGUCCAGACUCCUACGGGAGGCAGCAGUGGGGAAUAUUGGACAAUGGGCGCAAGCCUGAUCCAGCCAUACCGCGUGGGUGAAGAAGGCCUUCGGGUUGUAAAGCCCUUUUGUUGGGAAAGAAAAGCAGCAGGUUAAUACCCCGCUGUUCUGACGGUACCCAAAGAAUAAGCACCGGCUAACUUCGUG